AUUGAACGCUGGCGGCAGGCCUAACACAUGCAAGUCGAGCGGAUGAAGGGAGCUUGCUCCUGGAUUCAGCGGCGGACGGGUGAGUAAUGCCUAGGAAUCUGCCUGGUAGUGGGGGAUAACGUCCGGAAACGGGCGCUAAUACCGCAUACGUCCUGAGGGAGAAAGUGGGGGAUCUUCGGACCUCACGCUAUCAGAUGAGCCUAGGUCGGAUUAGCUAGUUGGUGGGGUAAAGGCCUACCAAGGCGACGAUCCGUAACUGGUCUGAGAGGAUGAUCAGUCACACUGGAACUGAGACACGGUCCAGACUCCUACGGGAGGCAGCAGUGGGGAAUAUUGGACAAUGGGCGAAAGCCUGAUCCAGCCAUGCCGCGUGUGUGAAGAAGGUCUUCGGAUUGUAAAGCACUUUUAGUUGGGAGGAAAGGCAGUAAGUUAAUACCCUGCUGUUUUGACGUUACCAAAAGAAUAAGCACCGGCUAACUUCGUG
rnacentral:rRNA from 1 species